ensembl:snRNA U6 U6 spliceosomal RNA
GUGCUCGCUUCGGCAGCACAUAUACUAAAAUUGUAACGAUACAGAGACCAGCAUGGCCCGUGUGCGAGGAUGACAUGCAAAUUUGUGAAGCAUUCCAUAUUUAA